AAGUCGUAACAAGGUUUCCGUAGGUGAACCUGCGGAAGGAUCAUUAAUGAAGUCUGGGUCUAAAAAGCCCUCUCUCUUCUACACACUUGUGAACUUACACUGUUGCUUUGGCGGGUCUCCGGACGGGUUUCAAACCCGGACGGUCAGGUCGAGAGACGCCCGCCAGAGACAUUUAUCCACCCUUUUUUAUCGUCUGAUUUUUGUUUUAAACAAAUAUAAAAAAACUUUCAACAAUGGAUCUCUUGGCUCUG
rnacentral:misc_RNA from 1 species